UCUUAUUUCUCCCCUCUGCCCCUGCACUCCUAUUCAGAACUGCUGGGUAUCCGAUUCAGGCACAUGCGUGGCAUUUUAAUUCAUUAUUUAUCCACACUGUCUCAAAUGGUAGCACUUUGACAAUAAUCAACGCAUCUCGAGUGGGAGGCUGCACAGCUGGGAGCAGCAUGAGGAUGCCCAGAAAGCAGAGAACGGUUCCUUGCCACAGGGGGGUGAGGAGAGGCAAGGAAAAGGUGGAAGGGACCGCAGUAGGAUAAAAAUAAAGCAAAUUAACCGUGUGGGUUUGGAAUCCCCCAAGACAUUCUGGUCGAGAGGACGGGUGUCUAACCCGCAUGCAGUUCCAGCCCAGAGCACCACGUUAACCUCCCCUCCCUACCGUUCAGUUCACGACCUGCCCUAACGCCGGCAAUCGGUUUUUGCCCCCUAUUAAACUUGGAGGCUGGGAACGAGGCAGGGCUGAUUUUCGGAAAGCUCAGGCUCAAUUCCCCGGGAGGAAAAAGGGUUGGGGUGCGUGUGCGGGGCGGCUUUGCCCACACCGCCGCACGGCUCCCACCGUCCGGGCGAGUUGGCGGCGCCCCCCCGGCGGGGAGCCCCGGCAGAGCCCAGCACGACCCCAGCGCACCCACGGAGCCCCCGGGGCCGGCAGCGCUGCCCCCGCCGGGCCCCCCCGGCUCUGCCCGGGACCCCCCAGCUCUGCCUGUGGCCACCAGCAGCGUGCCCGAGCUGUGCUUGCAUUGAUUUAUUUCUCUAUUUUUUUUUAAUUUUUCCCCUCUGCCGCGCUCCCACCCCCGCCGGCGCGGCACGGGUGGGCGCCCCCCGGCCGGGCGAUCCAUAUUCUGGAAGAUACAGAGUUGUGGACCCAUCUUCUCAAGGACCCUAAGCUAUUUUGUCUAGUAGAGAGUUAACCCCAGUAUUCUGCAUAUAUUUGGGUUUCUCAAAGCACACUUUCUUCUGAAAUUCUCUCUGUUGUCCCAAACGGAUGAGAGAUUCUCCUUUAUGAAGUGUGGCACACUGGUGUGUUCCUGUGGCUGCCAAACAGAGGAUGAAGUCUUGUCGCCAGCUGAAGUCAAUUGCAAAAAUCCCAUGGAUCUGGAUGAGGCCCAGGUCUCGUGCAAAACGUUUAACGUUAUCAGUAAUGGAUAAAGUGAUUGCUCUAUGGCCGAUUCCAUCCUAACUUCUCCACUGCUACAAAGAGUCCUACGUUGUGUAUAGUUCCCAUUGAUUUGUCUGAUUUUUGUAUGAUGUAGUUUUCCAUUUUCUUAGAGUAUUUUGAGAUCUCUGUAAAUGAGAACUAUAAAUAUGCUAUCAAAAUU